UUUCAUUGUAAAUAGAACAUUUCAAACUUUGGAAAUUAAAAAUUCAAAUUGAUGGAGAAAUGAUAAAAGCCUACUUUUGACCAAUCUUCCUAUGAUCUUAGAUGACGUGAGACGAAGUGCUUAUUGGGCAAUAAUUCGAUGGUUGAUUUUCAUCUCCUCCUUUAUGCAGAGGUAUAAUUACAACUGUCUUAAGGGGAUCAUCCCAUGUGAUGGACUCAAAAAAUCGAUUUUUUUUUCAUAAAUUGCUUUCUUAACAUGUCUAGAAUAAGGUAGUAAAGUGAUUUUUGAAAAUUCCAAGUCGUUUUAAAGAUACAGCAGGUAAAAUAAAAAGCUGUUCGGAGCGCUGAGUUGGCAAUUGGGGUCCGGGCCUAUUGUGUACCGUCGACUUUAUACCUGGCCCCCCUUUUAUACAUAUAUACAUUUAUACAAGUUUAGACAAGUUUUUAACUAUGUUUAACUUUAAGUUUCAAGAGGAAGAGGAAGGAAUACUCUAUGGACCAGGCAUUGCCGAUUGAGGAUAAGCCAAUCAGACAGAUUGGCUUAUCUGGCAGAAUCAUUUUUUCGAGGAGGGAGUGCUCAGAACGCUGUAACUCAAGUUCUACACAAUAUUUUUAGCUUAAAAUUUAUAUUUAUACUGUCGUAAUAUAUGUUAAUAAAUGAUAAUAAACUUAAA